GGAAUUUCCGGAACCACAAAGAUAUAUCCUUCCAUUUUUAUGGCUCAAAACGUCCCAAAUAACGUCUCCGUGUCUACGGACAGCAUCUUGAACAUACUCUCUCCUGCCAUUCCGUGACUCCACGACUAACUUUUUAGCGCGACACUUUGGGUUUUUGUGAUGGCCAGGAACGGUGUUCCAUUCACCAUGAUAAAGUUCGUCAAGCUUUUGAUCUCUGCAUCCCUGAAUUAUCCAUACCUUUCCUGUACACGCUGCAUUUGC